rnacentral:tRNA from 1 species
GAAGGUGUAGCUCAAGUGGUAGAGCGCAUGCUUAGCAGGCACAACGUCUUGGGUUCAAUCCCCGUCACCUCCU